GUGUCGUGAGAUGUUCGGGUUAAGUCCCGUAACGAGCGCAACCCUUGUCCUUAGUUACCAGCACGUUAUGGUGGGCACUCUAAGGAGACUGCCGGUGACAAACCGGAGGAAGGUGGGGAUGACGUCAAGUCAUCAUGGCCCUUACGGCCUGGGCUACACACGUGCUACAAUGGUCGGUACAAAGGGUUGCCAAGCCGCGAGGUGGAGCUAAUCCCAUAAAACCGAUCGUAGUCCGGAUCGCAGUCUGCAACUCGACUGCGUGAAGUCGGAAUCGCUAGUAAUCGUGAAUCAGAAUGUCACGGUGAAUACGUUCCCGGGCCUU
rnacentral:rRNA from 1 species